CACACCUGCUGGUCUCACCGCUAGGGCCUGGGCAUCACAGGCAGGGGGAAUGGGGAGGGGACGGUAGCGUCAGCCUACACCCACACGCAGUUUCCUGAUAAAAGGUCCUUUGGAAACUUUGAUUCUCUUCUCACCAAGUUGAACGGAGAUGUGUUCCCAUAGUAAGAGUGAGGCCCCUGCAUUUGCUGCCCUCGGUUUUCCCAACUAACACCAGGGCCUCCCCCCUGUACCCCAUUCAUAUGCCUCAGAAGCUGACAAUGACUGUUGGGCUUUUCCAAUGAAUACCAGAACACCAUUUCCUGCAGCCUGAAAAGAAGACAGUAUAAUUGUUUGGCAGCAAGAGACAGGAUCUCGCUGCGUUGCUCAGACUGGUCUCGAACUCCUGGGCUUAAGGGAUUCUCCUGCCUCAAUCACAGCCUCCCAAGUAGCUGAGAUUAAAAGUGCUCACCACCGUGCCAGCGAGUUCAGUUUUUGAGAUAAGGGGAAAUUGGAGCUCAGAGAUUUAAGCCACCUGCCAGAGGUCACAUGGCCCAUAAAAGCCAGGUGCGGUGGCUCAUGCCUGUAAUGCCAGCACUUUGGACAGCCAAGGCUGGUGAGAUCACUUGAAGCCAGGAGUUCAAGACCAGCCUGGGCAACAUGUUGAAACCCCAUCUCUACUAAAAAUACAAAAAUUAGCCAGGUGCAGUGGCACAUGCCUGUAGUCCCAGCUACUGGAGAAGCAAAGGCAGGAGGAUUUCUUGAGCCCAGGAGGUGGAGGUGUCAGUGAGCUGAGAUCAAGCGACUGCACCCCAGCCUGGGUGACAGAGUGAAACCCUGUCUCUAAAUAAAUAAAUAAAUAUAUAAAACUAAAUAA
rnacentral:lncRNA from 1 species